AUUGAACGCUGGCGGCAUGCCUAACACAUGCAAGUCGAACGGCAGCACAGCAGUAGCAAUACUGUGGGUGGCGAGUGGCGGACGGGUGAGGAAUACGUCGGAAUCUGCCCAGUCGUGGGGGAUAACUAGCCGAAAGGUUAGCUAAUACCGCAUACGACCGAGAGGUGAAAGCGGGGGACCGCAAGGCCUCGCGCGAUUGGAUGAGCCGACGUCGGAUUAGCUAGUUGGCGGGUAAAGGCCCACCAAGGCGACGAUCCGUAGCUGGUCUGAGAGGAUGAUCAGCCACACUGGAACUGAGACACGGUCCAGACUCCUACGGGAGGCAGCAGUGGGGAAUAUUGGACAAUGGGCGGCAAGCCUGAUCCAGCAAUGCCGCGUGUGUGAAGAAGGCCUCGG
rnacentral:rRNA from 1 species